rnacentral:lncRNA from 1 species
UAAUUGUACUAGUAUAAGUAAGACGAAGAUGUUCGACAUAGCACCACUAUAAAAACGAAAGAUGAUUGCUCAAGUCAGUUGAGAGAUGUGACAAUUUUCUGGCAUGGAGCUUCAAGAAUAGGUUUGUUUAGGCGCAACUUCGAGCCACUGCCUUUGGCCACCGACGAGUGUUUGGGUAAAGUGCUUUUCAACCAUUCUCUAACGAGCAUUGCUCUCGAGACGCGUUGGCUUGGAAAAUCAUGCAAGUAGCUCAUUGUAAGUGUUACUUUAUUUCUACAUAUCGAAUGGAUAAUGGAAGAAUAGCUUAUAGGUCGUAUCUACGUGUUCGGUCCAUUAUAUGAUAAGGCGUUGAGGGAAAGAGACUAAGACUUUUGGGGCUCACUUGGGGCUCAUUUUAAGAGUUUGAAUACCCCUUAUUAAGGAUAAAAGUAUGCUACAUUUUCUAUAGAGCUAUAGUAAUCCACAUCAAAUAUAUACAUGAGACCACUAAAGUGGAUGUAACUCAUUUUAAGGGUGAACCACUUAAAUCAUAUUGUCAAUUAUAUAGCUUACCGUACUGAUCCCAGUUUUAAGGGUUAAGAAUGGUGUUAUUAACUUAUUAAUUAUGAUAUUAGGGACUCGUUAUUAGCAUUCCUAACAUUCAAUAUCUACAAAGAAAAAUACUUUUUUUUAACAAACAAUAUUAUAUACACUAGGGGGGGUGGGAAAGUGGGUUAAGCCAGCUUCACAAUAAGCUAGCAAUAAUGUGAUUCAAAUUCGUCUUUGGCGAAAAUCGAACCUAAGACAUCUCACUUACAAAUGAAGAUAAAUACUACUAACAAUAACAAUUUCCUUAUAUUAUUCAAAUGAUAACACAUAGAUUUAAUUUUUAUUAGUAUGCUCUAUAUGUGAGACAUAUAAAUCAUAUAGUUCACCCUUACUAUAACAAGUAAAAUGACAUGUCAAGUGACUUGUGUUCUAUUUCGAGCAUUGCAGUACACUAGCCUUGAUCAUUGUUUUUACUUGUUUGAUGUUAAUUUCGUUUAUUCAUGAUCCGUCAAUUUAUUGAGUUGUGAUUAUUAUUUAUUAGCAUAUUCAAAUUUAUUCCUAUACAUAUAUAUAUAUAUAUAUAUAUAUAUAUAUAUAUAUAUAUGUCAUUGGUUGUUGAUAAUUAUCGAACAAUCGAGGAUAAUACUUGCAUUCUCUUUAAGGAAUGUAUAUAUUCAAUUUGUAUAUUCUUAUUGUAUAAAUUUUAUACUUAAAUUGUUCAAAUCUUAAUCUUCAUUUGAAAUGACGGUUAUGAUCAUGCUUUGUGUUUAAUUUGGUAAUUUUCCUCAAAUUAUACUACCUAAGUUACAAUUUGAUAUGUAUGAUUUAAAGAUUCACAUAGAUCUUUUUUCUAAUCUGUCUUGUUCUUCCAAAAAAAAAAAAAGAAAAAAAAAAGAAACUGGUAAUAAUGAAUGAAUGAAUUAUUUAGUGGGCACUGCACUGACUAGAGUUUGUUUUAGUAGGUACAAAUUUUUAUUGACAAGGUUUUAGUAGGUACAAAUCAUAACUUUUUGGCACGAAGCUUCAAGGAUAAGCAUGUUCACGCGUUUAACUCCGAGCCACUUGUUGGUCAUCGAUGAGGAAACAAGUCUAUGAAGAAACAUAUAUACUGUAAAGCUUAGCUCUAAUAAAGUGCUUUGCAACCACUCUCUAACCAGCAUUGCGCUUGUUGCGCUCGAGACAUGUCAACCUGAGAAAUCAUGCAAGUAGCUAUAUGUAAAUGUCAAUUCCUCUCCACUUGUUGAGUGGAUAAUGGAGGAAUAACUUAUAAGUCGUAUCCACGUGUUCGACUCAUUAAAUGAUAGAACAGUGAGAGAAUUAAGAGCCCAAGACUUAUGGGACUCACUCAUGGCCUAUAUAAAGGGGUUGAAUUCCCCUUAUAAGCCUUUGGAUCCACAAGGGUAAAAUUACACUACUUUUUUCAUAGAGCUAUUGAAAUCCACAUGGACUAAAUUUGUAGGCAAAAUUUUAUAAACUAAAUAACUCAGAAGUUGAUAAUUAGAUUAUUACUUAAGUGUUGAGUAACAUGCUUAUAUCUCAUUGGUGACACAUCAUUUAGUCUACAAUUUAGUCUAUCUGGCAUUAUUUUACACACACACACACACACACACACUACUACAAUGGGCGUAUCCCAUUUGUAAGAAUGAACUGCUUAAAUCUUCUUGUCAAUUAUCGAGAUUUACAUUUUGAGCUCACCAAGGAUUGACCGUAUUGGUCUUGUGUUUACCUCUCAAAUUCGAGUAUUAAUAGUGAUGUUAUUAACUUAUUAAUUACUACAGUUUAGUGGUAUUCCUCUUCACUUGUAAUUGAGAGGUCUUAGGUUCUCGUCAAAGACGAAUUUGAACCAUAUUAUUGCUAGCCCAAUUCCCAACCUCCUUAGUAUAGAUAAUAUCGUUUGUUCAAAAAAUAAAUAAAUACUAUAUUAGAAAAUUGUUAUUGGAAUUCCAAACAUUUAAUAUUUAGAAAGAAAAAUAUUCUUAUAAAGAGUGCACAAUUACAUGUUUGUAAUGUCAAUAGUAGAUUUAAUUUUUAUUAGUAUGCUCUAUUAGUGUGAGACAUAAUCCAUUCUUACUAUAACAGGCAAAACGACAUAUUAUUCUUAAAAAUUUCUUCUUCUAAUUACAAUGUACAGAUAUAGCAAAGGUAUUAGACACAAAACUAAUCAAGCUACUAAUCACCUCUUUAAGUGAAUCUCACGUACAAUAGUUUUCUAUUUGUAUUCGUUGGGAGGGUUAAGAACGCGGGUUUAAUCCGGUGAGAUUUUAAUAGUAAUAUUUUGGAUGAGCAUAGAAAAGUGUAAAGAAUAGGUAUUAACAGCAAGAACAAAAGUGUUAUUUUCUGUAAUUGGCAGUAUUACAACUCAACCAGAUCUUCUAGUUGCAUGUGCAGUUUUGUAUUUUUAAACUUGUGUCUUGCAAAUUCAUUACUCCCAGUUUUUUUAAUAUUUGACUAAUUAUGUCACAUCCCGGCCCAGGUCCCCACCACCUCCCGGAUUCGACUCCACCAUAGCACGAUAUUGUCUGCUUUGAGUCCCGACCACAUCCUCACGGUUUUGUUUAUGAGAACUUCCCAGUGGGUCACCCAUAAUGGGAUUGCUCUCGCGUGAACUCGCUUAACUUCGAACUUCCGAUGGAACCCGAAGCCAGCGACCUCCCAAAAGGCCUCGUGCUAGGUAUAAAUGGGAAUAUACAUAUAAUGCUUAGAGGAUCCAUUCUGCUGGACGAUGUGGGAUGUUACAAAUUCCCUUAUGGAAGUGUGAAUCCAUAUUUGAAAUGUUUGUCUAUUUAUAAUCCCAAUGUAUAUGCUUAUUAAACGUUUUAUUUCUUAAUCUUCAUUUGAAAUAAUAGGUAGAACCAGAGGUAAAUUUAAGAUUUUAGGGGCCUUGUGUGAAAAUUAAAAUGGGCCUAUUUGAACUUUUUUUUUUGUUUCUUCUGUGGUAUAAUUAUGCGUACAAAACUUAGUAUAAAAGUCAAUUUUGUAACACAAUAUCGUCUAAUGAACAACAAAAAUAAAAGAAUGAACAACAGAGAUAGAAGAAUUUAAAGGAAGGUAUAUGUCAGAGAAAUGAAGUUUUUAACGAAAAUAAAAGAAAGUACGUAAAAAGAUAUGGUAUUCUCCAAAACAAAAAAUAACUUGGGUAUUUUUCAAAUUUGCACUUAAUUAAGUUAUGCAAUAUAUAUAUAUAUAUUGGGAAUAUAUAGAACUGAAAAAAAAAUGUUUUGUAUAUAAUUAAAAGUUGGGGCUUCUUGGAGACGGAGAACCUUCUGCAGCUGCUCCUUUCACACUCCCCCAAAGUCACCACUAAUUAUGAUUAUGCUUGUGUUUGAUUUGGUAACUUUCCUUAAUUUAUACUACCUAAGUUACGGUUUGAUAUGUAUGAUUUAAAGAUCCACAGAGAUCUUCUUUUCAACUUGUUCUUCCAAAAAGUGAGAGAAAGAAUUGUAACUGGUAAUGAUGAAUUAAUUAAGUAAUUAGUGGGCACUGCACUAACUAGAUUUUGUUUUUGUAGGCACAAGUGAGAACUAAAUUCUCGGCGAUAUUUGCUGAAUUGAACAUGCCAAUGGCAGGCAUGCACCAUCUUC